rnacentral:rRNA from 1 species
GACGAACGCUGGCGGCGUGCUUAACACAUGCAAGUCGAACGGAAAGGCCCUGCUUUUGUGGGGUGCUCGAGUGGCGAACGGGUGAGUAACACGUGAGUAACCUGCCCUUGACUUUGGGAUAACUUCAGGAAACUGGGGCUAAUACCGGAUAGGAGCUCCUGCUGCAUGUUGGGGGUUGGAAAGUUUCGGCGGUUGGGGAUGGACUCGCGGCUUAUCAGCUUGUUGGUGGGGUAGUGGUUUACCAAGGCUUUGACGGGUAGCCGGCCUGAGAGGGUGACCGGCCACAUUGGGACUGAGAUACGGCCCAGACUCCUACGGGAGGCAGCAGUGGGGAAUAUUGCACAAUGGGCGGAAGCCUGAUGCAGCAACGCCGCGUGCGGGAUGACGGCCUUCGGGUUGUAAACCGCUUUCGCCUGUGACGAAGCGUGAGUGACGGUAAUGGGUAAAGAAGCACCGGCUAACUACGUG